rnacentral:rRNA from 1 species
CUGGUUGAUCCUGCCAGGAGGGCAAGCCUGGUUGAUCCUGCCAGUAGUCAUAUGCUUGUCUCAAAGAUUAAGCCAUGCAUGUCUAAGUACAAGCCUCACUAAGGUGAAACCGCGAAUGGCUCAUUAAAUCACACCUAAUCUACUGGAUAGUAAACAGUUACUUGGAUAACUGCGGUAAUUCUGGAGCUAAUACAUGCAUAAAGCCCCAACUCACGAAGGGGCGCUUUUAUUAGAUCAAAACCAAACGGCUUCGGCUGUACUCUUGGUGAUUCUGAAUAACUUUGGGCUGAUCGCAUAGCCUUGCGCUGGCGACAUAUCCUUCGAAGGUGUGCCCUAUCAACUGUCGACUGUGGCAUAGACGCCCACAGUGGUUUUGACGGGUAACGGGGAAUCAGGGUUCGAUUCCGGAGAGGGAGCCUUAAAAACGGCUACCACAUCUAAGGAAGGCAGCAGGCACGCAAAUUACCCAAUGACCGAAGGUCGAGGUAGUGACGAAAAAUAACGGUAGCGGUCUCAUCCGAGGUACGCUAAUUGGAAUGAGUACACUUUAAAACCGUCCCCGAGGAUCUAUUGGAGGGCAAGUCUGGU